GAGUUUUCGGGCUUCGGCUCGACUCUCCCACCCUUUGUGAACGUACCUCUGUUGCUUUGGCGGCUCCGGCCGCCAAAGGACCUUCAAACUCCAGUCAGUAAACGCAGACGUCUGAUAAACAAGUUAAUAAACUAAAACUUUCAACAACGGAUCUCUUGGUUCUGGCAUCGAUGAAGAACGCAGCGAAAUGCGAUAAGUAAUGUGAAUUGCAGAAUUCAGUGAAUCAUCGAAUCUUUGAACGCACAUUGCGCCCCUUGGUAUUCCGGGGGGCAUGCCUGUUCGAGCGUCAUUACAACCCUCAAGCUCUGCUUGGAAUUGGGCACCGUCCUCAUUGCGGACGCGCCUCAAAGACCUCGGCGGUGGCUGUUCAGCCCUCAAGCGUAGUAGAAUACACCUCGCUUUGGAGCGGUUGGCGUCGCCCGCCGGACGAACCUUCUGAACUUUUCUCAAGGUUGACCUCGGAUCAGGUAGGGAUACCCGCUGAACUUAAACAUAUCA
rnacentral:rRNA from 1 species